CGGACGGGUGAGUAACACGUGGGUAACCUACCUAUAAGACUGGGACAACUUCGGGAAACCGGAGCUAAUACCGGAUAAGAUAUCGAACCGCAUGGUUCGAUAGUGAAAGAUGGUUUUGCUAUCACUUAUAGAUGGACCCGCGCCGUAUUAGCUAGUUGGUGAGGUAACGGCUCACCAAGGCAACGAUACGUAGCCGACCUGAGAGGGUGAUCGGCCACACUGGAACUGAGACACGAUCCAGACUCCUACGGGAGGCAGCAGGU
rnacentral:rRNA from 1 species